rnacentral:rRNA from 1 species
CACGUAGGGAGCAAGCGUUGUCCGGAUUUAUUGGGCGUAAAGAGCUCGUAGGCGGCUCAGUAAGUCGGGUGUGAAACCUCCAGGCUCAACCUGGAGACGCCAUCCGAUACUGCUGUGGCUAGAGUCCGGUAGGGGAGCGUGGAAUUCCUGGUGUAGCGGUGAAAUGCGCAGAUACUCAGGAGGAACACCAGCGGCGAAGGCGGUUCUCUGGGACGGUACUGACGCUGAGACGCGAAAGCGUGGGGAGCGAACAGG